UCCCUGAUGGUCCAGUAGUUAAGAUCCUGCAUUCCCAAUGCAAGAGGGCAUAGGUUCAAUCCCUGAUCAGGGAA
rfam:Ovis aries breed Texel chromosome 14, whole genome shotgun sequence.